AAGGUGAAGGUGAAUUUUCAGCAGCCCUUUUCUUUAAGACAAAUGAACAAAUAACCAAAUAAAUAAAUACAUACGCUGACCCCAAACCUUUACAUUAUGUGUGUCUAAUGUAUGUCUUUUGUCUUUUAUAUUACAGAUCAUCUGUGGUGCCAUCAGCAAAUCAGUGUUGGUGAACACAGUUGCUAGUUCGAUCUCAUCUUGUAAUGAUCCAGCAGGAUUGUCCUUGUCUGUUAAAUGACUGCGUACUGAAACUGAUGAGUGCUUCUGCAUCGUCUUUGAAGUUUGAGAGCCUAAUUGCAUGGAGAAAAAUUCAUACAGGUUUGGAGUGUUAAGCGGGGAUGCAGGCCUGCUGCUGUUCUCUCCCUUCUCACUCUCACUGAAGCCCCAGACAGAAGCUCCCUGGAGACCUUCCUGUCUUGUUUAAACCUGACACAAAUUCCACGUCACAGUGCCCAGAGUGACGGCGCUUGUAGGCACAAAAUCAAAUAUUUCCUUUCCUGGUUGUACUCAACCCCCUCUACGCAUCCCCUCCGACACCUGAACCCUUCCUUUCCACACCAGUUCCAGCACUGCAGUCAGACUGGCAAGAGCAAAAAAGCUUUAGGAGUAACACGUUUAAUUCCUUUGGGAUUUCUCUAUAGUCUUCAGAUUAAUAGCGGGACAGGGACAAAAGGCCUUUUUUCACCUGCUGUUUCCUGCUCUGUCUGGCUGCAUGUCUCCAGGCCCUGGCUCUCUACGAUAGCAUCUCUCAUGCAUUCUACAGACAGUCGAAAAGCUCCUUGUAUUAGCAUUCUGAUGAGGAUAUAUUGUUGGAUAGCUGCUGAAUUUGAUCAAUUCUGAGUGUGGUGCAAUUUAAAGGAAUGAGGCUGUAACUUCCUGAGGGUGUGUAAUCCAACUGACCCUUUUGAUUAUUCCGAGAGAAAGUGCGGGGGUUGUGUUAAAUUACAUUGUGAAUGCAGAACACUCAACGUUCUCUUGAUUCUUACAUUUGCAACAUUUCAAAUGUUUUUGGCUGUUCUAGGUUACCGUGCAGAGUUUAUGAUGACAUGCAACAAGAUGUGAUGCAUUUUCUAUUUAUAAGGAAUGGCAUGUAUUUUAAAAACUUAUGCACAGAAACUAAAGCUUUUAAUAAUAUUAAUAUAAACAUUAGGUAACACUUUAGAAUAGGUAACACUUAUUAGUUGCUUAUUAGCAUGCAUAUUACUAGAAUAUUAGCCAUGUAUUAGUGCUAAUUAAGAACAUAUUAAUGCCUUAUUCUACUUGACCUUAUUCUACAUCCCUAAUCUUUCCCAAUACCUAAACAUAACAACUACUGUACCUUACGAACUAUUAAUAAGCAGCAAAUUAAGAAUUUAUUUAUUUUUUAUUUUUUUAAUGUGUGCAUGCCGGUCCUGUAUAAAUGUCUGUUUCUGUUAAACCACUAUAUAAUUAUUAUUAUUUUAUUUUUGUGUGUGUGUGUCAGCUCUCUUGUUUUCUGGACUAGUAGCUUAUAAUGUGUGAUCUAUGUAUUUUAUGAACAUGUACCAAUUCUUCUAGGGAAUGUGGAAUACUUGGUUCCGUGCUGUCAAUGCUGGGAAAUCUAGGAUGUCUUGUCUCAAGAUUUUCAUUAUUAUUAUUAUUAUUAUUAUUAUUAUUAAUAUACUAUUAUUAUUUAUUUAAAAAAAAUCCCUCUUUUUUUUUUCUUAAGCUGUGUGUGUGUGGGGGGGAUGGGAAGAUUGUAUUGUAUUGUAAUUGUAAUUGUUAAAAAUCCAAUAAAUAAAAUCUCAGAUCCAUUUGUAAGGGCAGAUACAGUUUGAUUGCAAAAAGAACUGUGUUCUUUGUUUCUUGGUUCAUUUUGGAUCCAUCAAAUGUGUUUCGAA
rnacentral:lncRNA from 1 species